UAGUGUUUUGAUUAAUUGGUUGUGUAAGGAGUGUAGGUUGGAUGAGGCGAAUGGAUUGUUUGAUGAGAUGUGUAAGAGAGGCUUGGUUCCUAAUGAUGUUACCUUCACUACUUUGAUAAAUGGG
rnacentral:miRNA from 1 species